ensembl:rRNA 5S_rRNA 5S ribosomal RNA
UUAAAAUGCCAUAUCACCCUGCAGCCCAAGACUGGUCUCCCACUGAAGCUGAGCAGCGUUGAGCUGGUCAGUAGCUGGAUGGGAGACUCCUGGGAACGCUGUGUUGCUGCUGGAA